UUUUAAUAGCUUAUAUUAGAGCAUAAUAUUGAAGAUAUUAUGGAGAAUUUAUUUCUUAGAAUAU
rnacentral:tRNA from 1 species